rnacentral:rRNA from 1 species
AGGUGCGAUCAUAAUACCAACGUUAAUGCACCGGAUCCCAUCGGAACUCUGCACUUGGGCUAGAGUAGUACUGGGAUGGGUGACCUACCAGGAAGUCUUAGUGUUGCACCCU